rnacentral:rRNA from 1 species
UAGGGAAUAUUAGAAAUGGACGAAAGUCUGAUCUAGCAACACCGCGUGUGCGAAGAAGGCCUUCGGGUCGUAAAGCACUUUUUGGAAGGAAUAGGAAGGAAUGUACUUCCAGAAUAAGUCUCGGCUAACUACGUGCCAGCAGCCGCGGUAACACGUAGGAGGCAAACGUUAUCCGGAUUUACUGGGCGUAAAGCGCGUGUAGGUGGUACUGUAAGUAGGGCGUGAAAGCUCCUGGCUCAACUGGGAGAGGCCGUUCUAAACUACAGAACUAGAGGAUGGUAGAGGGAGGUGGAAUUCCAGGUGUAGCGGUGGAAUGCGCAGAUAUCUGGAGGAACACCGGUGGCGAAGGCGGCCUCCUGGACCAUUCCUGACACUCAGACGCGAAAGCUAGGGUAGCAA